rnacentral:rRNA from 1 species
GUUAACCUACGGGGGGCAGCAGUGAGGAAUAUUGGUCAAUGGGCGGGAGCCUGAACCAGCCACGUCGCGUGAGGGACGACGGUCCUAUGGAUUGUAAACCUCUUUUGUCGGGGAACAAAGGCGCCCACGGGUGGGCGGAUGAGUGUACCCGAAGAAAAAGCAUCGGCUAACUCCGUGCCAGCAGCCGCGGUAAUACGGAGGAUGCGAGCGUUAUCCGGAUAUAUUGGGUUUAAAUGGUGCGUAGGCGGACGGUCAAGUCAGCGGUAAAAAUGCGGUGCUCAACGCCGUACAG